UACGUAGGGUGCAAGCGUUUGUCCGGAAAUUAUUGGGCGUAAAGAGCUCGUAGGCGGUCUGUCACGUCGGCUGUGAAAACCCGAGGCUCAACCUCGGGCCUGCAGUCGAUACGGGCAGACUAGAGUUCGGUAGGGGAGAGUGGAAUUCCUGGUGUAGCGGUGAAAUGCGCAGAUAUCAGGAAGAACACCCGUGGCUAAGGCGGCUCUCUAGUACGGUACUGACGCUGAGACGCGAAAGCGUGGGGAGCGAACAGG
rnacentral:rRNA from 1 species